rnacentral:rRNA from 1 species
GACGAACGCUGGCGGCGUGCUUAACACAUGCAAGUCGAACGAAGUGGCGAACGGGUGAGUAAUACGUGGGUAACCUGCCCUCCUUUUUGGGAUAAGCCUUGGAAACGGGGCCUAAUACCGAAUAUAGGGGGAUGGGCUCGUGGCCUAUCAGCUUGUUGGUGGGGUGAUGGCCUACCAAGGCGGUGAAGGGUAGCCGGCCUGAGAGGGUGACCGGGCAGAGUGAAACUGAGAGACGGCCCAGACGACUACGGGAGGCGGAAGUGGGGGAUAUGGCACAAUGGGCGAAAGCCUGAUGCAGCGUCGCCGCGUGGGGGAUGAGGGCUUUCAGGUUGUAAACCUCUUGAGCAAUCGAACAGUUAGGUGAAGAAGAAGCGCCGGCUAACUACGUGCCAGCAGCCGCGGUAAUAC